AAGUAGAAAAUUUCCUUUGGGCACAUUGAUGUGUACCCGUUACCCUCAUGCUGUGGUGCUGGGCUUUCUAGACUACACCAGCGGGCUGUCAAAGAAACUUACUCCAGCAAAAGGACUGUAAACAUGGAUUAUCUGUCGCUUCUAAGGGAUGCACUUGUACAGCCCUUGACCUCACAAGGAGUAGACGGAGUACAGGAUGUUGUUGCACUUAUGGACACAUAUUAUUUGAUGAAAGAAGACUUUGAGAAUAUCAUGGAAAUCAGCAGCUGGGGUGGCAAACCUAGUCCCUUUUCAAAGCUGGAUCCCAAGGUGAAAGCAGCCUUCACAAGAGCUUACAAUAAGGAAGCCCACCUUACUCCAUACUCACUUCAAGCUAUAAAGGCAUCUAGACACAGCACAAGCCCAUCCCUGGAUUCGGAAUACAAUGAAGAAUUAAAUGAAGAUGACUCUCAAUCUGAUGAGAAAGACCAGGAUGCUAUAGAAACUGAUGCCAUGAUCAAGAAAAAGACAAAAUCUUCAAAGCCUUCAAAACCAGAAAAAGAUAAGGAGCCCAGAAAAGGAAAAGGA
rnacentral:sRNA from 1 species